AGAUCCCCAGCUGCUGUCACGAGGCUCAAAUAAACAACCACCUACUCGGACAAAUGGAACGAAUUCAGCAUGUAAGAUCUAAAUGUAAUUUAUGCCGCAGGGGAAUUGUAAAUGAAGAAUUAUCCAACAACUCCACUAACGAAAUCCCGGAAAAUUAGUCGAAAACGUGCCGCCUAUAAAUAGAGGAAUAUAUACGGAAAACCAGCAAAGGUCACCUUGACUAACUUGGCCGAAUGGAGCCAAAAAACUCUGGAGAGCGCAACACCAACAAACACAGGCGGCGAAAGAGCGAGCGAGAGAAAUGGCCGCUCACUUUCACAACGCCGCAGAGGCCGUUUCGUCAUUCAUCCUGGCGCAGCUGGCAGAGAGGUCCAAAACAGCUGGCCACACUG
ensembl:ncRNA lncRNA:CR44522 long non-coding RNA:CR44522